GUUCAGGAGCCCAGUCCAGGGACCUAAGGAGAGAGUGGAUCUGAGCUCUUCUAAAGUACGAAACCUCAUGUCGCACUCAAGAUCCGUCAGAGCCGGGGAGACUGCCAGGGUCCAGCCCCGGUUGGGUCCAGGGAUUCCCUCAGGAGGACGGUGUUGGCGAAAGAAUAGAUAAAAGGAGAAAGAGAUAAGGAAAGAAUUUUGCAGUUAAGAAAAUAGAGGAGAGAAAAGAGGCUGAUAUUCUUUGGUUUACGCAGAAAGCCAAUAAAGCCCCAGCACAGGACUUGCUCUGUUCACGUAGGCCGCAGGCACCCUCUCGAAUAGCUGAAGGUGCCCCACCUUAGGCACCUUCUCGAGUGGAUCUUAGAAGCCCAGGCAGGAAAGUGAAUGCAGAGGGCCCUUGCACUCCAGGGAAUCAGCCUGAAAAGGAAAAGGAAAAAGAAAUAACACGGGGAGACCAAGCCUGAUGAGCAUGGCCCACACUUUAUUUUCCAAAGUAGUUUUUAUACCUUAAGUUGUGCAUGGAGGAUAAUGGGAGGGGGGUUAGAGUCAUGCAAGGUCAGCAGUCCUUGAUCCUUAUCAAAGCCAGGCUUUCUUUCUGCAAGCUUAUCAUAUGUAAAAGCUUUAGGUGAUUUACAUCAUCUUCUGGCCAGGAGGCCUGUUAACAUUUUAUGACCCUUUCUUCAGAAAACUUAUUUUUCUCUAAAGGUGAUUAUUCUAAAGUCAGGCACCACCCUCUGAAAGCAUUAGGUAAAGUUGCAUUCCUAUAGGGCAAAAGUGUGGUGGGCUAUAACAAGAAAAGAAUUAACUCAAGCGUCCAAGGUUACAAACAUUAAAGCUACUACUUACAUUUCUAUAUACCAACUAUAUUAAUCAAUACACUCCCAGGGACACAGUAGGUAAGGGAUAUGGAAACUUGGCAGCAAGCAUUAGCUCAACAAAGAAAUCCUCUACUAGUUCUAUUCUAACAAUUUUAACUCUCUGAGAAGCUCUGCAUUGUUAGACUAUCUUAAGCUUCCCGUGCCUCUCGAGGUUGGGAGGCUGUGAAC
ensembl:lncRNA